CCCCGUGGCGGAAUUGGUAGACGCGCUCGAUUACCAUCGAGUGAGAGCAGUCUCGUGCAGGUUCAAGCCCUGUCGGGG
rnacentral:tRNA from 1 species